UAACAGCGUACUGAGUCCCCAGGCAGGCAGCUCCCCGUCCCCUCCGGCUCCUGACACAGGGACAGUGAGCAGUGGCAGGUGCCAAGGCGGUGGCUGUCGCUAGGACCGUGCUCCUGCCGCACAUUGCGGCUCCGCUCCUGCUGCUGCGCUGCCGAGCCUCCUCCCACGGGCGCGGCUGAUUUUUACAUAGCCCACUUAAGAGCGGAGGAAGGGGAGAGCUGCGGGCAGCCGUGCUGCCGAGUGAGCCCGCAGGAACGGACUGAGAAGCGGCGAAAAAGCCGGAGCGGCCCGGGAAGGAGAACGGAACCGAGCCGAGCCGAGCCGAGCCGGCUGCGAGCGCUGCACUCCUCCCCUCGCCAGAGCCAAUCCCACAUGGCCGCUCGGAGGGUCUGGUUUUCUCUCUUCCCCAAGGAAAUCACACUCUCUGAGACCCCGAUGGGGAUGGAGCAUAAGGAUCAGGCCAGGGAAAGCCCAUCCCACCCUGCAUCCCACCGGUGGCUGCUCCAGCAGAGCUGUUCUGGUCCCUGUGCUUUCCCUGCUGGCUGCACCCGAGCCACACUCAGGGGCACAGUGUCCCGAGCAGGAUCAGGCCUCCUCAGCCAGCUUGGAGGCUGGGAACCACUUAAUUGACUGAGGAUUUUAAUUACCUAUGCACUGGAUAGAGCCCAUGGGGAAAAGAGUGAUAAGGCAGGCGGCUGGACCUGCAGGUACAUAACAAGGAAGGUCAUUGCUGAAAGUGUUGGGAGCAAUAUUAUAGACCAAGUGUCACUGAAAUGCACCUGACGUGGGCCAUGCUGCACACUGGGCAUCCACAGGCAGGUGUGAGCCAUCCAAUGGGACCCUCUUGCACCUUUCCUUCUGCAAAGCUCACCAGCAGACCCUACAUGGGGCUGGAAGCACCACUUUAUCCUGGCAGGUUUCCUGAGCCUUUGAAAACUGAAUGGGGAUGCUGGAAGGCACAGCUCACUAACAGGUAACUUGGGCUGGAGAAGAGGAACCACUUCUGGUUGUUUGGAAGGGAAUGGGAGUGGCAGCUGUUGGUAACUGAGGGCAGGAAGAUGUGUAGGUGUAGUGUUUAGGGACAUGAUUUACUGGUGGACUUGGCAGCUGGACUUGAAGGUCUUGUAAGCCUUUUUCAACCCAAACAAUUCUAUAAUUCAAGUUCAUGCUACCAGGAAGGUGGGUUCAGUGGUAGCAGCCCUCCCAUUUAUUAGAGAAGCCAUGUCUUCAUAGGGAAUGGGGAUGGGGAGGGAUCCAGAGGGCAGAGACAGAGAUCCCUCACCCAAAUCCUGCCCAGAUCUCACCUGAAAUGUGCUAUGGGACAACAGGGACGAAUUUAGGGAUGCUGAAGGUGUUCAAGCCUUUGUUUGGAAAGAUUCCAAGGUGUAACAGCAAAUGUCAAGGCUGCAGAGCAGCACCCAUGUUGACUUAGAGGAUUUCUUGAGGCCUAAAGAAUCCUCCCAAAAGCCCCCAAACCUCAUACCCCAUCACUGACACCAUGACCAGCAGUGGCAGGUGUCACUACCUGGCAGCAGUGAUGAUUUGUCACAUAAACAUCAUCCAUUAGCAGCAGGAGGGAGUCCCAAACAGGAGUUUUUACAGAGGGCUCUAAGCAGGUUUUGGCACUUUCUCUCUGGAUCAGAAACACAGUCUUCACAGGCAGCUCCAGCCAUAAAAAUGGAUGGCAGAAGCAAUCAGUGUUGCUCAGUCUUUGCCAUAAAAGCACAGAUAGAGGGAGAAUCCAGAGGAAGAAUCCCUCAGCCCAGCUGGCAGGGACGAGCAUCCACUGAACCCUCCAGCACAGCUCCCUGAGCUCAGCACAGACCGUGCCCUCAUCCUCCACCACACACAUCCACCCAUCUCAGCCAGCACACACUUCCCAGGCAGCCCUCCUCUGCAAGGACCUCCCGCUUUUUGGCAGCUGCUGCAGCAGGGAGCAUUUUCCUUCUCCCUUCCAGGAGCGCCCACAAGGAGCGGCCGCGGUUUCGGCGUCGGGGCAGGCGCGCGCUGGAAGGCUCUGCCUGCCAAUGCAGCUCUGAGAGUGCCUCAGAGGGGCUGCUGCAGGCACAGAGCUGGCCAAGUCCUGCUUAUCUGAUGGGAUCCACCAACAUCCCUGCUCCCAGCAGUACCACUUCAGGUUUUUCUGUCAGCUGAUGAUAUGAGGCUGAAAUGAAGAUAAAUGGGAGUAAAAGAAGAGAAAUCCCUCCUCAAAAGGCAUUUGAAUGCAGGAUAAAAAGCAACCCAGUGACAAGGACUCUUUUUUUCUUCUCCCCAAACUUUGGGAAGUCGGAUGUGGGUGUGAAUAUCACUUUAAGGAUUUAUAAAAUGACACAUGGCCUCACCUGUCAGCAUGCCAAAAUCUGAAUGUCGGUUUUAAUUACACCGAAUAUUUUACUUUCUUAUGCAGAGGCAUAAUCAAUUAUCUUAUUUAAAGGCAUUACGAUAAUGUGUGUGUAAAAUGGAGCCAUUCCCUGUAUUGCAUUAGAUUCUCUAAUUAUAGGAGAAUGUUUGGAGCUAAAAUGUCAGCCUGUCAUCUGGCGGGUGUGUAAUUCAUGAUCUGCAUUUGCCGGCACGGAUGGAGCUGACAAAAAAUUGUAUUCAUUCUCUUCCACUGCUUUGGCCUCAAAUUUGCCUGGCCUGGAGAUGACAAAUUCCACCCUGUCUCCCUUCUGGAGCUCAGCAAGUCCAUCCUGCCCUGUGCUGGGGGGAUGAUGCUGUGAGGAGCUGAGUUUGACAAAGUGUUCUCUGUCGGUGGGUGUCUCUUAGUUAGACCUCGCUGAGCCUGGAGAGCGAGUGUGGGGUUACACACCAAGCUCUUGGGCAGUGGGGAGCUGUUUGGAUGUGAUCAUGAGCUCAGCAAAUGCUUCCUCAUGUCCCACAUGGCGGGAGGAGACUGAGGCGUGAGCAGAGCUGGAGGCAGAAGACAGAACCCACCAGGGACUUUGCAAAACAGCCUCAUCUGAAUUACGAAUAAUGAAAGCCCUCCAACUCUCAGUUAUUAAAGCAGAGGGAUUAGAUAAAAAUAGUGUGCUUGUUUCUUGGGAUCUUAGUCCUUUCUCUAAGCAUUACCCAAGUGAAAGCAGCCUGGAUGAUUUCAGUGCCUGUUUUGCAGGACAGUUCCUGAUCACAUCUAUGAUGUCACUUCUAGGUCAGAAACCACAUAGAGGGAAGAGAGAAACCUCUUUGUCUUGGUGCAGGGGUAAGGGGAGAUUGUAGUUUGGGAAAUUAUGAAACAUUACCAGUAAAGGAGAAGCACUGCAGUGAGAUUGCUGUGAGUGCACUGAAACAGAGAGCAUGAUCUCUGGGGGUGAGGGGCGGCAAGAAGCAUCACCUGGAGGUGACACCCUAGCAGCAGCAUCCCAAAAGGAAGGUCCUGAUGAAGGAAAUGCUGCUGGUGGCUGUGGCAUUAGCCAAAGGGAUAAAUCACAGAGGGCAGUGCCAUUGCUGUGUCCAGCUCCAGGUGAUGCUGCUUGACCUCCCAGCCACCCAAAAGCAGAUGCUAUAGGACCAGAUACACCACUCUGUGCUGUCCUACAGGCUGUAGCAGUGCAAUCUCCUGGCCUGUCCCUGUGCCUCAGAUUUCAGACCAGAUCCACCCUCUGGAUUUCCUUGAGUGUCCUGGAUCAAUGCACCAGAGCAGGACGUGGGUCAUCCCAAUGCUCCCCACGUCACUCACACUCCCCAGCCCUCACUCCCAGCCCUGACUUCCUUGCAUGCAGGUAUCCUAACACAGCCUCAUCCCCAGGCUGCCAAGGAUGUGCACGAUGCCAUUAAGAGGCUUAUUAAAAAGUGAUGCUCCAAUUUAACACUUAUUAGCCAGCACGGUGCCCUUUAACGGCACGGGGGAACCUGCAAAUGGAGGCCCAAGCUCCCAGCAGAACCCUAAGAGGCUGAGUUUAACUUUAUGGCUCCAAUUAGAGCAACACUAAAGCAGCACCGAUGCCAUGGAUUUAUUAACACUGAGCCCGUCCCAGAGGGCUGCUGGCCAAUGCCAAUGCACAGGCAGGGCUUUGCCAGCUGUGUCCAGGCCACCACAAUGCCCCAUCCCCUCCAAAUGGGAGAUUUUGGGGAGCUUCUAGGGAAGGGAUGGUGUCAAACAAAGGGGGAUAAGGGAGAGAACAGGCUGAACCCAUCCCUGGUCAUUGCUGCAAUCUGAGUUUCCUAUUUUAGGGGAUGUCACCAGCUGGUGGGAUGCUAAGGCAAAGCAGGGGAAUGUCUCUCUGGGUGUCAAAUCUUCCUUUGGUCUGGAUGAGCAGGGCCAGAGUGGGAGGGAGAGCAGCUGCCUGCACACAGGGGUUGAAGAUGUUUAAAGCACUUGGUUGUUCCGGGAGGUUUAUAGGCUGCCUUUGCCUAAUAAAGUCAUUUUUUAGCCUCUUGC
rnacentral:lncRNA from 1 species